rnacentral:rRNA from 1 species
UACGGGGGGGGCAAGCGUUGUUCGGAAUUACUGGGCGUAAAGCGCACGUAGGCGGCUUUCUAAGUCGGGGGUGAAAUCCUGGAGCUCAACUCCAGAACUGCCUUCGAUACUGGAGAGCUCGAGUCCGGGAGAGGUGAGUGGAACUGCGAGUGUAGAGGUGAAAUUCGUAGAUAUUCGCAAGAACACCAGUGGCGAAGGCGGCUCACUGGACCGGUACUGACGCUGAUGCGCGAAAGCGUGGGGAGCAAACGGG